CCUACGGGAGGCAGCAGUGAGGAAUAUUGGUCAAUGGGCGGAAGUCUGAACCAGCCAAGUAGCGUGCAGGAUGACGGCCCUAUGGGUUGUAAACUGCUUUUAUACGGGAAUAAAGUGCCUUACGUGUAGGGUUUUGCAUGUACCGCAUGAAUAAGGACCGGCUAAUUCCGUGCCAGCAGCCGCGGUAAUACGGAAGGUCCGGGCGUUAUCCGGAUUUAUUGGGUUUAAAGGGAGCGUAGGCCGCCCGUCAAGCGUGCUGUGAAAUGCCCGGGCUCAACCCUGGCCUUGCAGCGCGAACUGGCGUGCUUGAGUGCGCGGAAGGCAGGCGGAAUUCGUGGUGUAGCGGUGAAAUGCUUAGAUAUCACGAAGAACCCCGAUUGCGAAGGCAGCUUGCUGCAGCGUUACUGACGCUGAGGCUCGAAGGCGCGGGUAUCGAACAGGAUUAGAUACCCCAGUAGUC
rnacentral:rRNA from 1 species